GCGGGUGGGGAGGCAGCGGGUGGGGGCCUGGCGGAGUGAAGCGGUAACAAGAUGGCGACUGAAACGGUGGAGCUCCAUAAGCUGAAGCUUGCUGAACUAAAGCAGGAGUGUCUUGCUCGUGGUUUGGAGACCAAGGGAAUAAAACAAGAUCUCAUCAACAGGCUCCAGGCAUAUCUUGAAGAGCAUGCUGAAGAGGAGGCAAAUGAAGAAGAUGUACUGGGAGAUGAAACAGAGGAAGAAGAACCGAAGCCCAUAGAACUGCCUGUCAAAGAGGAAGAACCUCCUGAAAAAACUGUUGAUGUGGCAGCAGAGAAAAAAGUGGUAAAAAUUACAUCUGAAAUACCACAGACUGAGAGGAUGCAGAAGAGAGCUGAACGAUUCAAUGUACCUGUGAGCUUGGAGAGUAAGAAAGCUGCCAGGGCAGCUAGAUUUGGGAUUUCUUCAGUUCCAUCAAAAGGCCUGUCAUCUGAUGCCAAGCCUAUGGUUAACCUGGAUAAGUUAAAGGAAAGAGCUCAAAGAUUUGGUUUGAAUGUCUCUUCAAUCUCCAGAAAGGGUCCCAGAAAGAGAAGAUGGUUAAUAGUACCUGAUGGAGAAGACUGUGGUUUUGCUGAGUUACUGUUCUGCUACACUUUAACCUUAAAUCUGAUCCUCUUUCCAAAUAUCGUUUGCCUCGCAACUGAAGGGAAUUUCCUUGUUGCCUUGUCUGAGGAUGAUGAGAAGCUGAAAAAGAGGAAGGAGCGAUUUGGGAUUGUCACAAGUUCAGCUGGAACAGGAACCACAGAGGAUACAGAGGCAAAGAAGAGGAAAAGAGCAGAGCGCUUUGGGAUUGCCUGAUGGAAAGCUUUUGAUGCUUUCUAUUCUCCAGUGGUUUCCAUCUCUUCGACUCUUCCUGGUCACAUGUAUACCUAAAUGCACAGUCAUGUGCCUAGGUUCUGCCUUGCAGUGAGGGAGCAUGUACCUCAGGUUCAAGUGCUGGAUUGUGUCAUGUGACCAUCCCAAAACUCAGAGCACCCUAUGGCCAUCUUUGCCCUCUGUCACAUAACUUGAAAACUGCCUGAUGGCCUUUUUGCAAUGGUUCCCUCCAGGAAGCCUUGAUCUCAGUGAAGUCCUUUCCCGGCAUUCCAGUGCCCCUGUCAGCCCCAUACUCCUCAGACACCCUUAACAAACAAAGGCAAUCACGCACACGGUGUAACAAAUACACAAAUAAUAAUUACACUAAUUAUGAUCAGAGGGGCACUGGCCAGGUCCACACACAUCAUAAGGUGGGAGAGGGGAGUACUAGUUCCCACUAGGUUGCUGGGCUGUGCCCCCAAGCCUCUUUACCCCAUGCCUCUUUGGGGGUGAGGAGGACCAGGGGAAUGAGACUUCAACUCAGAUUUAUGUUCAUAAGAGAAAGACCCUCCCCCAAAGGUCUUUAUUUGGUGGCAUUAAAGGGGCAUAUUCUAAGUGUCCCCCAAGUCUAAUGCCCCACCUCUCUAGAAUUUGUAGAGGGAAGUCACCUGAUGCCUACUGCCCAGCCCCCACCCUGUGCCAAGAUCAAGAGACACGGGCAUUUGCCCUUGGAGGAGGCAUCUUCUGUUCUUCACUUCUCUGUUCCUUUCUUUCUACCAAGGAAAUGUGAAUGGUGUUGAUGGUCAGAUGUAUCUUGUUCUCCAAGAUUGGGGCAUAAGGAAUGAUGAAGAAUGGGGCCAGAGAGGAGAGGCUGGGGGUUAGUACAGCUGCUAUCUGGGAGGAGGCAAUUUGAAACACUUAACAGCCCUUGCCCGUUCCGGUACCGAAAUACCUCACUUUUUUACUAUGGGAAUGGGAAUAAGAUGCCAAAACUCACCAAUAUCACCUUUCCAAGGGUGGCCAAAUACCUUUGCCCCUUCCACCAGCUGGGCCAGGCAGGAAAGUCAUGCUCUUGGGAAGAACAAGCCUUCCGGGUCAGCUCUCCAGCUUGGGCUUACUUUAGUUCAGUACUGUUUGCAUCAGACCCGCGACUGCUGGCUCUACUUAGAGUGACUAUUUUGCUGAAGGUUCUUUUCCCCCCUCCUCUCCUGACAUCCUCUAGGCUCUUGCCUGGAGCCAAGAGGUCUGGAGGUGAGGUAUGGAUAGGGUAUGGAUCAGGAGGUUCUCAGCUCCUUGUCUUCAGGCACUGUCCAGCUGGGAGGCAGAGGGGAACUUGUACUCUGAAGCCUGUGACUCCUCUAAGCCUCACAUCUCUUCACCACUACUCUGGUGCCCUGGUUAUCUGUCCCACAGCGAGAGGUAUUUUAUGUCCAUAAAGUGCCCGUGGUAAGUGCUCAGAAUUCAUCUCUUGGCUGUGGCGGGUGCUGCUAUUUCUCAUUCCAUCGAGGGGAAGAAACUGAGGCACAGUGAGUCCAGAGGAGGGUGGAUCAGGAUUGUGGGAGGAAUGAAUAGGCCCAGCUAGUGACCUGGAGUGGCAACCAGUCCCUGCCUGCUUCCUAGCUUUCCAAACCAGGGAGUCUCCAUCCUUCCCAACCUCUGCCCUAACUGGCCUUGUCAGGUGCUUUUCCCCACUUGUAUUGUCCCCUCCCUGCUGCCGGGUACUGCUAGAUUCCAAAAAUAAAAGAUAAAAAUAAUUAUAGACACUCUGCUCCUUUGUUCUACCCCCUUCCACCCUGAGCUUUGGGGUUGGGGGACUAAAAUGUCCCCCUUCCAGAAUCCCUUCCACCUUGGUCUGCUGGCUCUAUUCCCUAGCCCAGAGCAGUGAUUUGGAUUCAAAUGCCCUGUAACCUUCAGCCUCCUUACAACUCCUUUCUUGACCCUUCCCAGACCUGGGGACUCUGGGCUCUCUCUACUCUUCUUUUUAUUGACCUGAAGAUAGAGGCUGGGAGCAGAGGCAUUCCACAGGCUCUUUGGUCUCUCUCUUGGCUGGGGGGAAUUUGGGCAUAAGCAGGCCACACCUGUGCCUAAGUCAGUACUAUGAGGGUAGACCUGAGGGUUAGUUUCGUGGCUCUCAUACAGAUACUGGAUGUUGAGCCCCUCCCGCCC